rnacentral:lncRNA from 1 species
UGUCUGCUUCCGUCAAGCGCUCACAGCUGUCCAGAGACUCCAGUUCCUUCUCUCGGGGAGUACGCAACCUAAGAUCAACCCACAGAAGGAUGGUCCACUCAUUCACCAAAUAUUUAUUCAGCGGCUGCUGUGCU